rnacentral:lncRNA from 1 species
GUGGCUUCCCCCGACUGGAAUUAUAUCAGGGCGGCUUCUUUAUCUUCUCAGGUCAAGCGCAACCCACAGCCCUGGCCUCCAACCCUUCGACACUUGGGACCCUCAGGUCUCAGCCAGUCUGAGGACCUGAGGGCCACCCUCUGAAUUCACAGGUGCCUUAGCUCUAGUGCCCAGGACCAUGCUCUGGGGAAAGGGGAACAGCAGGACAGGGAGGGGGCACGGCUGGGAAUUCACGGGAAAGAGAGGUGGAAAUGGGACUGCUCCCAGUCUUAGAAAGACAGUCUCAGGCAGUGGUUCUGCAUGACCGCCUUCCCAGGGCACCUUGAGAGGCCGUGUGAAAGGCACAGGGUCGGGGGUCCAGCAGGCAAGUCUGGUAUGGCUCUGCCACCAACCAGCCACAUGAUCCCAGCAAGACCCAGGGCCUCCCCAGGUCUCAGUCUCCCCCUCUGCACACUAGGAUGGAUGACAGCUCCCUCUCAUGGCUGCUGGAAAGCACCAGGUCAGGAUGGUGAGACUCUGGGCCACAGGCCAGUUAGCAGUAAAGCAGUCAGGGGUCCCACAGCUGACACGCCCAGCCCCCCAUCCUAUCUUAGGUCCCCGCUAUGACACCUCCAGCUUCACUGGGACUCAAGGCAAAGAAGCCCCUGCCCAUCAGUCUCCCUACCCCCAACAAAGGCUCCCACCCACCUCUUCGCCUUUGCCCAAAUCCCCGCUUCCCCUCCACUCCCCUGCCUGUACCCAAGUCCACCCUCCUCCACCUCCUGCCUCUCUCCAUCCCAGGCCAGCCACAGGGGGCUACCCAAACCACCUCCCUCAAGCCCCACAAUGUCGUACCCACAAAGCGCUCUGGGCUUGGAGUCAAACAGGUAGCCUUGGAUGCCAGUCCCAGCUCCAGCACUAGCUGGCUCUGUGCACUGGGGAAAGUUUCUUCUCUGUCCAAAAGAAGAGCCCUGUGGUGUCCUGCUCAAGGUUAAAUGAGUAAUCAGGCAGCCCGGGGUGCAACCUACUCUGAGUGUUCAAUCAAGGAGGGAGCUAUCAUUACUAUUCUGUUGUUGUAUGUCACUGCCUUGCUCAAAAAUCUUCGCUAGGGCCCAGUGCCACAGCAUAAAGUUCAAACUGCUCGGCCUAGAGGUCAACACCUCACCCAACCGACCUCUCUGUCCUUAUCUUCCAUUCUUUCCUGCAACAGAUCCUUCACUCUGGGUCACGAUGUCCUCUCCAAGGCCACCUCCGGAACGCUAAGUCUGCCGGAUGUUCUUACCCCUUAUCUCUCGUGGCUGACCUCAUCUUCCAGACAUCUCCCCAAGCUCCAAACCUGAGACCCUUGGAUGUCCCACCCCAGACAUCUCAAAUCCAUCCAGUUUCAAGCCAAGUCCCCUUGCCCCAAACCGCUCCCCCCUUCUGCUCCUGUUCCCUCAACCCCAUCCACUCAGAGCCCAAGCUGGAACCUGGGGCUCCUCCCUGACCCCCCACCUGAUCCCAUUAAUCCCCCAUCCUCCCAGUCCUCUUCCUCACUACAACCCCAGCAGCUCCCCACUGCUCUCUGGCCACCAGCCCUGCCUGGACCUACGCUGCAGGCAGAGGGGGCAUCCUGAAGGAAAACAGCAGCCCGAAAACUCUACAGUGAAGCCAACCAUCUACAGCUGUGGGCACAAGAAUCCUUCGGGGUGUUUAACAUUGCUGACUCUUGGGCCCAGCCACAGAGUUUGAUUAGGUCCAAGUUAGGCCCAGGAAUGUGCAUUUUGAUAAGAUGCCCCGGGAGACUCUGAUGGGGGAAGAGGAGGCAGCUGUGGACACCUCCCAGCGAAACCUGCCUCCAGAGCCUGGUCAAUGGCUUCCAAGCCCCCCAGGAUCUGGGUCCUACCUACCUCUCAGCCUCGGCUCUCACCUCCUCACGACUUACUGCACACAGGCACCUUCCAGAACUUGCCCUUUCCCCAGAGAGCCAUUCUCUUCCUCUUUGUUCACGCAGUUCUCUGUGCCUGGGACACUCCUGCUAUUGUCCCCCAACCUGACAUCUACUGUCCUUCAGACUGCAAUUGGGACAUCUCUCCCUCCAGACUGGGCAUGGACCCCCUCCCCGCACCCCAGUCUCUGUGCUUAUAGCCGUCAGAGCCCUAAAAUACCUUGUAAAUUAUCCACCUGUCCCCUCCACAUUCGAAUGUCAGGUCCUCGAGCACAGGGACCACAUCUGUCCUGUUCACCCCCAUGUUCCCAGUAAAGCCUGCGCCCAGAACAUGUUACGUCCAGUAAAUGAUUACUGAAUGGAUUAACAUGGAUGGCCUCACAUGGAGCUGCCUUCGCU